CCAAUAGCGUAUAUUAGUGUUGUUGCGGUUAAAAAGCUCGUAGUUGAAUUUCGGGAUUGGGAUAUAUCGGUCGUGCCUUUAGGGGCAUGAAACGGUGUGUAGCCAAUUUCUCACCUUCUGGUGAGUCGGGAUGCUCUUGGGUGUUUCGAUGAACCAGGACAUUUACUUUGUAAAAAUUAGAGUGUUUAAAGCGGGCAUUUUUGCUUGAAUACAUUAGCAUGGAAUAAUAAAAUAGGACGAUGGUUCUAUUUUGUUGGUUUUAGGACUACGUAAUGAUUAAUAGGGAUAGUUGGGGGCAUUAGUAUUCAAUUGUCAGAGGUGAAAUUCUUGGAUUUAUUGAGGACUAACUACUGCGAAAGCAUUUGCCAAGGAUGUUUUCAUUAAUCAAGAACGAAAGUUAGGGGAUCAAAGACGAUUUAUGUACGUCGUAGUCUUAACCAUAAACUAUGCCGACUAGGAAUCAGACAAAGUUCAUUUUUUAACGACUUGUUUGGUACCUUACG
rnacentral:rRNA from 1 species